rnacentral:rRNA from 1 species
UGCGCAGGUGGGCUUGUAAGUCAGUGGUGAAAUACUGCCGCUUAACGGUAGAACUGCCAUUGAUACUGCAAGUCUUGAAUAUGGUUGAGGUAGGCGGAAUGUGUCGUGUAGCGGUGAAAUGCAUAGAUAUGACACAGAACGCCGAUUGCGAAGGCAGCUUACUAAGCCAUUAUUGACGCUGAGGCACGAAAGCGUGGGGAGCGAACAGGAUUGGAUACCCUGGUAGUCC